rnacentral:rRNA from 1 species
AUUGAACGCUGGCGGCAUGCUUUACACAUGCAAGUCGAACGGUAACAGGCCGCCAGGUGCUGACGAGUGGCGAACGGGUGAGUAAUGCAUCGGAACGUGCCCAGUCGUGGGGGAUAACUACUCGAAAGAGUAGCUAAUACCGCAUACGAUCUAUGGAUGAAAGCGGGGGACCGUAAGGCCUCGCGCGAUUGGAGCGGCCGAUGUCAGAUUAGGUAGUUGGUGGGGUAAAGGCUCACCAAGCCAACGAUCUGUAGCUGGUCUGAGAGGACAACCAGCCACACUGGGACUGAGACACGGCCCAGACUCCUACGAGAGGCAGCAGUGGGGAAUUUUGGACAAUGGGCGCAAGCCUGAUCCAGCAAUGCCGCGUGCAGGAAGAAGGCCUUCGGGUUGUAAACUGCUUUUGUACGGAACGAAACGGCUCUGGUUAAUACCCGGGGCUAAUGACGGUACCGUAAGAAUAAGCACCGGCUAACUACGUG